AUUAUUAUUAUUAUUAUCAUCAUCAUCAUCACCCUCAUCAUCGUCAUAAGGGAAUGGCGCAUUAGAAAAAGAAUGAUCAAUUGUUUUUUAUACACUGCAGGUGCCGUUUUACAUAUAAACAUUACUCAAUGGACUACGAAGGAGACUUUACAAUUACAGUAAUAACAAAUCUCAAGACAGACAGUGUAUAUUUAAAUUGAACCUCAUUGGAAAUGGGCUGGACUCCGGCCUAAUGGGCGUUCCUGAUGCUCAUUACGUGAUGUAGAUAAAGAAGCCACAACUAUGUCCGGAUUCAAUCGUGAAAAAGGGCAACAGAACUUACCAAUUAGGCCUAUAGAUAGCUAAAAAUUGUGUCACUCAUCAAGCUUCCUGCAAAAAUUCUGUAUAUGAAAUUAAAAUAUAGUGUAAAUUUUAUUUUUUAAAUGUUUUCCUCUGCAAUAAUCUCAAAAAUAAUAUGUAGUAAUUCUUGUAGGCUUUAUGUUUAUUAAUAUUGUAUUAUUAGGCCUACUUAUUAAUGUUUAACUUAUUAAUAGAGAAAGUAAUCCGUUUGCUGUAAAAAAAAUAUAGACAUGUAAGAUAAUAAGAUAUAACAUUUUGAGAAUUAAAAUCAGAUUUAUUGUUUUUUGCCGGAUGUACAUGAUAUAGGCCUACAAUAUAUAAAUAUAAAAUGUA